CCCUUAUCCAAAAAUAAAAAGAAACAACAAGUAUUGGUGAGCCUGUGGAGAAAAGGGAACCCUUGUGCACUGUUGGUGGGAAUGUAAAUUGGUGCAAUCAUAUG